rnacentral:rRNA from 2 species
GGAUGCGACCAUACCAGCACUAAAGCACCGAAUCCCAUUAGAACUCCGAAGUUAAGCGUGCUUGGGCGAGAGUAGUACUAGGAUGGGUGACCUCUUGGGAAGUCCUCGUGUUGCAUUCC